GACGAACGCUGGCGGCGCGCCUAACACAUGCAAGUCGAACGGAGCUAGUUUCGAUAGAUCCCCUUCGGGUGACAUUGGCUUAGCUUAGUGGCGAACGGGUGAGUAACACGUGAGGAACCUGCCCUUCAGAGGGGGACAACAGUUGGAAACGACUGCUAAUACCGCAUAAUGCAGUUGGGCCGCAUGGCUCUGACUGCCAAAGAUUUAUCGCUCUGAGAUGGCCUCGCGUCUGAUUAGCUAGUUGGUGGGGUAACGGCCCACCAAGGCGACGAUCAGUAGCCGGACUGAGAGGUUGGCCGGCCACAUUGGGACUGAGACACGGCCCAG
rnacentral:rRNA from 1 species